rnacentral:lncRNA from 1 species
GGAAAAAAAAAAAAAGGCUACUGAUUUUAUUUUUGUAAAGACCUUCCAGACAUCCAAAAUCUCAAUGAAGUCACUAUAAGUGGGGACUUCUUGCAGAACUCUUUCAGAGAGGAUGGGGACAGGGUUGGUGAAGUCUGGGGAUUUGAGGGUUUAGGAGAGAGAUGAUGGGGAAGAUGUGGUGGGAAUGCUGUGGACAGAGGCUUUGGGGCCAGCAGCUGGAGUGAAGGAGGCUGGUAGCUAUGGUCUGGGAGUAGCUGCGGAAUUGGAGUUCUGAGAUGGUUUAAGAGUCCUGGGUGGAGAGAUUGGGUAUGGGUAUGGGAAGCUGAGAGGCUUGGAAAAGUUGAGGGAAAUGGAUUUUUCUUUCUGGCGGCCAGAAAUGAUGUGUAAUUUCUGUAGGAUGAGAGAUUUUGGGAAGGCCAUCAAUAGAAUCCAGGCUAGUGCUCCAUGUUUUGGGGCAUAUCUGCAUGCUCAAACUGGGGACUGCUCCCAGAAGGCUACUGCAUCCGGUUUUACUGUCAUAAACAUGUUAACCAUAUGUAUGCAGCGAGCUUUAUCCAUCGUUCAGCUGUGCUCUCAUGUUUGCCACAUGACCUUCACAAAACAGUUAUCACUAAGUGGGAAGCAGACACAUCUGGAUGCAUCCAUGCCUCAAGAGAGUCACCAGGCAGUCCAUUAAUGUAACUAAUUCUUGCUUUCUCUCCCUGCUCCCCCUUUUGUGACUCAUCC